GAAAAGGGAGGAGUCCCCAUAUUUCACGGGGACUGCCUGUGAUGGCCACAGGGGAGGCUCGCCGCCCACCGGCUCUGAGCCUGAGGCCUGCUUCUAGCCUGGCCUUGGGGGCCUGGGCGAAGCGACCCAGCGCGAGGACCAGUCCCCAACCAACCCGCUCCUAGUUCUGGGCGCCUUCCCCAGCAGUCAGAUGGGGGCUCCAGAGGCCCGUGCGCGGCCACAUGGCCCCGGGCCAGGCAGGGGGUCGUGGGGACGCAUCUACGCUAGGCGCACAGUAUUUCUGGGCGCGGGACGGGCGAAGCGCCGUGGGUUCCAAGCUGAGCUGGGUCGGCCCUGCAGCGCCGGAGAGCAAGGCGGCGCAGGGAAGGGAGAUGGGGCGGGAUGUGGGGAACGCUGUCGACUGCUUGGAUCUCUCCGGCCCGGAUGGCGCCAGCUGCCUCCAGCUCAGCCUGCGGAAAUCCGAGCUCUUCCCAGCGGCCCGACGGCCUGGGCGCCCCGCAGACCCCGGGCUCUCCCCGCGGUGCCUCCGCCGCCCGCCCCUGCGUCCUGGCCCGGCCUCCAUGCCCCUCCGAGGUCCCGGCGCAGCGCGGCCGCCGCCACUGCCGCCACUCCCCCAACAUUCCAGAGGCCGCAGCGCCGUCUCCUUCCUCGCAUUCCUGCCCCCGCAAAGGAGUCCCUCCGCCCCGCGCGAGGCCGCGGCGAGGAGGGGGCGCGGCCCGGCGCCUGGGAGCUUACAUUCCUCCGCCGCGCGCGCCGCCGAGCAGGGCGCCGCGUCCCCCGGCCCGCGCGUGGCCGCCGGAACGACCCCGGCCCGGCGCCGGCCCCGCCCCGCCCCGCGCCCAGGGGUCCCGGGGCGGGCUCCGGGCUUCGGGCGGACGAUGCGGCGGCCCGGCCGGAGCGGCGGCGGGAAGCGGAGGCGGAGGUGACGCGCCAGGGCCGGCGGGCCGGGCCAUGCAGCGCUCCCGGGCGGGCGCGGACGAGGCGGCCCUACUCCUGGCCGGGCUGGCCCUGCGGGAGCUGGAGCCCGGGUGCGGCUCUCCGGGUCGGGGGCGGCGGGGGCCGCGGCCUGGGCCUGGAGACGAGGCGGCGCCCGCGCUGGGCCGCAGAGGGAAGGGCAGCGGCGGCCCCGAGGCCGGGGCGGACGGACUGAGCCGCGGGGAGCGGGGUCCCCGGCGCGCGGCGGUUCCGGAGCUCAGCGCGCAGCCUGCGGGCAGCCCACGGGCCAGCCUGGCGGGGUCCGACGGCGGCGGCGGCAGCGCCCGAUCCAGCGGCAUCAGCCUGGGCUACGACCAGCGCCACGGCAGCCCGCGCUCCGGUCGCUCGGACCCGCGUCCCGGUCCCGGGCCGCCGUCGGUGGGCAGCGCCCGCUCCAGCGUGUCCAGCCUCGGCUCCCGGGGCUCGGCCGGCGCCUACGCUGACUUCCUCCCGCCCGGCGCCUGCCCCGCGCCCGCUCGCUCCCCGGAGCCUGCGGGGCCGGCCCCCUUCCCGCUGCCUGCACUCCCGCUGCCCCCGGGCCGGGAGGGCGGCCCAAGCGCGGCCGAGCGGCGGCUGGAGGCGCUCACCCGGGAGCUGGAGCGGGCGCUCGAGGCGCGCACGGCGCGGGACUACUUCGGUGAGCGAGCUCGGCCCGGCAGUUCCCUGCGCGCACGGCUGGGGUCCGGGGUUCCGAGACUGCCUCGGGCAUUUGCAUCAAGUGUGGGCUUGGCAUCUACGGAGCCCAGCAGGCGUGCCAGGCAAUGGGGAGUCUUUAUCACACUGACUGCUUCACCUGCGACUCGUGUGGGAGACGACUCCGUGGGAAGGCGUUCUACAACGUGGGUGAGAAAGUGUACUGCCAGGAGGACUUCCUGUACUCCGGGUUCCAGCAGACGGCCGACAAAUGCAGCGUGUGUGGACAUCUCAUCAUGGAAAUGAUCCUGCAGGCCCUGGGCAAGUCCUACCACCCAGGCUGCUUCCGGUGCUCCGUGUGCAAUGAGUGCCUGGACGGGGUUCCCUUCACCGUGGACGUGGAGAACAACAUCUACUGCGUGCGAGACUAUCACACGGUUUUUGCACCAAAAUGCGCCUCCUGUGCCCGUCCUAUCCUCCCUGCACAGGGCUGCGAGACAACCAUCCGUGUGGUGUCCAUGGACAGAGACUACCACGUGGCAUGUUACCACUGUGAGGACUGCGGGCUGCAGCUGAGCGGGGAGGAGGGACGCCGUUGCUAUCCCCUGGCGGGCCACCUGCUGUGUCGUCGUUGCCACCUGCGGCGCCUCCAACCCGGGCCUCUUCCCUCACCCACUGUGCACGUCACUGAGCUCUGAGCAGGGGAAAACCCGUCCCUGGGCCGGGGUGGGUGUGGGUGUGGAGGGAGGGCCCGCAUGGGUGGCCCUGGUCAGCGUCAGGGGAGCUCCCUCCAAUCACAGUUUCCCACCGAGCUGCUGUCUGCAGGGGCCGGACCCCCGCGUGGAAGCUUCUAUUUAUUCACCGUCUGUGCCUGCUCAAGUCACUUCCCUGCGGGCCCUGCCUCCCACCCACCCCAUCACCAGCUUUCCACUUGGGAGGCCCCCUGUGCCCUGCAGCCUCAGGGUAGGCCGUGGGUCACCAGGCUGGAGAGGGCCCCUGCCUUGGCCAGGGGUGCGAGGUGACCCGGCUGCAUUCCUGGGUGGGAGCUGCUGUCUGUUGUUCAGGGGCCUGGCCCCCGCCCUCCCCCCGACCCCGACCUCGCAAAGCGCACUCCCAGGCAGGGUGUGGUCUGGAAGGCGGGGCUGGCGGGGACAUGGGUGUUCCUGCAUCUCCUAGCGCUGUUCCUGCUGGUGGGUGGAAGGGUGCCUGGCUUAGACGGGGUCCCAGGAGGGGGUGAGGAAUGACACCCUUGGGGAGGGGGCCUGCAAAGGGCACUGCCUGUGGCCACGUGGUGUCUGUGGGAAUUGGUCCUGGGGACUUUGAUGGGUGUUUGCGGCCCCAGUUGCCGCCCUGCUCCCUCUUCCAGGGCUCCUGGCUUGGGCCCCCCCCCCACCCCCCUGCUCAGCUCGGGAAAAUCCCCGUGCGGCUCCAGUCCCGGGUCUCGCUCAGGAGCGAUGAGAGGGGCGCCCUGGCCACGCUUCAGGAAAGCCUGUGUCUGCGCGCGGGGCAAGGGGCUCCACGACAAAAGGACAAGAUUUGACUUAAAUUAAGUUUUUCCCUUGAGGAUAUUUUCAUUUUCUUUAAAAGAAUAUAAUUUUCUUCUAAGAUCUUGGACCAGCCUUGUUAUUUUUAAAGCAAAUUCCGGCAAACUCACAAGUGUCUAGUUUGUCUGUUACGGAGCUGGUUUUCAGGUGGUAAGAACCUUGUGGUUUCAGGACUUUUGUAUAAAUUCCUCUAAAACUUCGCCACGCGUGUCCACCUUUCAGACUUUAGGGUAGUGUGGGGUUCCGUGUGUGUCCGGGUGUUAAGGGCGGUCGCCCCAUGAAAUGCAGUGUGGCGGUCCCUCCAUGCUCCCCGGGACACACUGACGGGAAUGUGGGGUCUGGACGUGGGAGGCCCUGGUCCUGAUGCGGAAUCCCCACGGGUUCAGGGGACAUCUGGACUGAAGUCACUCGCCCCUGGGAGAGCCUGGACCCGCCUCUUGGCUGCUGCUCUCCCCUUCCUCCCCCACGGUCAGGUGUGAGUUCUGUGAAUCACUCGCGGGGCUGGGCUAGGCUCCGGGAACCAGCAGGGCUGUCCAGGCCAAGCCCAAGGGAACACCAGGAGGCGCCCGCAGGGAAGUGGCGGCUUCGGAGUCCAGCAGGGCCGAGGCAUGGCGCGGGCGCCACCUGGUGGGCUGAGCCGGCAAGUAUAGGGAUGGUCAGGGAGCCUUAACCAGGGACUUCCACAGCGUGGAGAGCGCUGCAUCUUAGAGUGGGGCCUUCAGCAGGACCAGGGGCCACUUCUUGGAGGAGGUGAUCCCACUGGGGCCAGAGAGUAAAGUCCAGGCGUGGAGGCUGCGGUGCUGGCUCUCUCCUGCUAGCUGAGCUGCUUUUUCUUUUUUUUUUUUUUGAGACGGAGUGUCAUCCUGUCACCCAGGCUGGAGUGCAGUGGCGCAAUCUUGGCUCACUGCAGCCUCCGUCUCCCGGGUUCAAGCAAUUCUCCUGCCUCAGUCUUCCGAGUAGCUGGGACUACAGGUGCACGCCACCACGCCCGGCUAAUUUUGUAUUUUUAGUAGAGACGGGGUUUCACCAUGUUGGUCAGGCUGGUCUCUAACUGCUGACCUCAGGCGAUCCACCCACCUCAGCCUCCCAAAGUGCUGGGAUUACAGGUGUGUACCACUGCGCCCGGCUUUUUUUUUUUUUUUUUUUUUGAGACAGGGUCUCGUUCUGUCGCCCAGGCUGGAGUGCAUUGGCACAAUCUGGGCCUACUGCAACCUCUGCCUCCAGGGUUCAAGUAAUUCUCAUGCCUCAGCCUCCCCAGUAGCUGAGACUACAGGUGUGCCCCAUGAUGCCCACCUAUUUUUUUUUUUUUUUUUUUUAAAGACAGAGUCUAGCUCUGUCGCUCAGGCUGGACUGCAGUGGCGUGAUCUGCGCUGACUGCAACCUCUGCCUCCCACGUUCAAGCGUUCUCCUGCCUCAGCCUCCCAAGUGCUGGGAUUACAAGUGUGCCCCAUGACGCCCAGCUAUUUUUUUUUUUUUUUUUUUUAAAGACAGAGUCUAGCUCUGUCGCCCAGGCUGGACUGCAGUGGCGUGAUCUGGGCUGACUGCAACCUCUGCCUCCCACGUUCAAGUGUUCUCCUGCCUCAGCCUCCCAAGUGCUGGGGUUACAAGUGUGCGCCACCAGGCCUGGCUAAUUUUUGUAUUUUUAGUAGAGUCGGGAUUUCACCAUGUUGGCCAGACUGGUCUGGAACUCCUGGCCUCAAGCGAUCCAUCCGCCUCGACCUUCCAAAGUUCUGGGAUUACAGGCGUGAGCCACUGUACCUGGCCUUACUUUUUGUAUGUUUAGUUGAGACGGGGUUUCAGCAUGUUGGCCAGGUUGGUGUCAAACUCCUGACCUCAAGCGAGCCCACCUUGGCCUCCCAGAGUGUUGGGAUUACAGGCUUGAGCCACCGCGCCUGGCCUGGGCUGCUUUGCCUUCUAACUGGUCAGUUGCAAAGCUGUCCUCUGAACUGUCCUCUCUGCUUCCUCCCUCAAACCUGCUUUGAGCUGGGUUUCUCCUUGUUGCCAACCCAGCCCUUCUCCUCCCCUUCCUUUGCGUGUGCCAUGGUGGGCCCUGUGCUUACAUCCAUGGGGUUGCUUCACUGAACCCUGCUCCGUCCCGGUCACCAUGCACGCUCCUGCCAGCUGGCCUGAGUCAUCACAGCUUGGAGUCCCCCCAACCCCACCCAAGGAACACACUUUGUCAAAGGUCACAGUCAAGGGACUGCAUGGCCCUUGGGGCAGUGGCCUCACCAGGCCACACUCUGCCCUUUCUUUCUGGGCCCCUGGGCCCCGCAUUGCCUUCUGUCAGGGCUGGUGGCCACUGCUCCACCUCCUCCCGUGGAGCUGUGCAUGGCAGUUCCCUCCGUGGGAGCCACUCUCCUGGGGUUUCUUCCUCCUCAGAACCUUCUCAUCUCGGCCUCUAUGAAGUCAGGCCCCAGUUGUGACACCUCACUUGACACCCACAAGUCUUGGCCCGUGCUCUCCAAGCUCAUUUGCCAACAGCAGUAUCUCCAUUUCAUGCCCAGGGGUGACACCCCAUGAUUAUAGAGAUGGAGGAUGCUGUGUGAGAACUGGGCUGAGCCAUGCCAGUGGCCUGUGACCCUCCAGCCCUGGGUGCCACCCCCCACCUGCCCAAGGGGACCCCCACUGAUAUGGUCUCUGCUGACACCUGCGCCUGUGCCUGGGGUCCCUGUCAUCCUUCCCUGGUCUGAGUGGCAAGUCUCCUGCCAUCCCUGUCCCCGCUAUGCGGUGAGCUCUCCAGCUUGGGCCUGCCUGGUGGCUCACGCUCCUCUCCACCGUGCCUGGUUUAGGGCGAGUGCUGAGGCUGGAGUUGACCCUGCCCUGGGCUUCAGGGUCUUGGCUUAGUUCCACCUGCACUGGUCCAAGUCCAGCCUGGUUGCCUAGUGAAGGAUCCACAGUGGGUACAUAAAGGGCCAAGCGCUGUCCACAUGGACACAUCCUAUGUGGGCGUGAGUGCUCCCUACAAUCCCCAGACAAGCCUGCCUCUCAGCGGGGCUCAGCUCAGAGGCAUAGACCCUGGAGGGCUGAGUCUGCCUGUGUGCGUGUGUGUGUGUGUGUGUGUGUGUGUGUGUGUGUGAGAGAGAGAGACAGGGAUGGGGGGAGAGUGUGUGUAUCAAUGAGAGAGAUGGAGAAAGUCGUGUGUGAAAGGGAUUGAAUAUUUCAGAAAAUGAAUGAGAGAGAUUGGGAGAGAUGGUGGGAGGUGGAGUGGGAGAGAGACCUGUUGUUUAAGAGGGAGACUGAGUGACUCCGAGAAUGAGGGGGAAAGAUACGGAGACAGGAUAAGCUGCAGAGAGAGAGAGGGAUUGAACUGGAGCGAGACCAACAGAGCCCUGAUGCUGGGAUUUGGGAGGAUUUGGUGGGUUCUCAGUGACCCCACUGAGGCCUGACCCACCAGUGGAAAAGGCUCACCUCCUGUAAGUGACCACACUGUGGGGUGUAAUUGUGUGUGUGUGUGUGUGUGUGUGUGUGUGUGUGUGUGUGUGUGUGUGUUGGCGUCGCCCUGAUGGCCUCUUGGAGGGUCCUGGGGCGGGUGGGUCUUGGGCAUGGGGUGCCCUCUGCCCUCAUUCUUUCUUCAUCCGGGCUCCCUGCCCCUGUUGGGGUGGGAAGCACAGAUGUCAGCUUGCUGAGCUGCAGGUACCAUGACAAUCCCAAGUGGAACUGCUCUUGGGGGGCUGUGUGGGGAGGGGCCACUGGGCAGGAUUUAUGAGACCUGGGCAGAGGUGUGGGGAGCAGUGUGGGCCAGAGGGUGACUGGGGGUUGGGGUGAGUCGGGUAGGGUGCGGCUGUGCUCAUCCCUCCCACCCAGCCCCACCCUGAGGCUGGUCUCCAGCUCGUGAGCAGAGGCCGAGAGAAGGCCCUUCCCCAUCACGGGGUCCUGUCUCCUCCGUGUCUGGCAGCCCUCAUCUGGCCAGGAGGCCAGCAAGGACUUCCGGUGCCACACUCGGGAGGGGUGAGGGCUUUGCUGGCUGCAGGGUUAGGAGUAGGCGCAGCCUGUGGGGCCCAGGAGAGCCUUGGGGUGGGGAUCAAGAACAGGUCUGGGAGAGGGGGGAGCACCAGGGCCACCUGCAGCCUCCACCCCGCCCAGCUCUGGAGGCUUUGCCCCCACCCCGCCCCCAUGGUAGGCGUGUUCCCUAGAGGCUGGUGGGGACCUGGGAGAGGGGCAUGUGCACACAUUUCAUGGGGAUGAUGGGGGAUUCUGGGAGCCAGCCUGGGUGGGGGCUCAGAGGUGGGAGGGGCCCUGAGGCCUGAGGUGGUGGAAGGAGCUCACCUAUCUCAGGCCCAGGCCCUUGCCAGGUUCCUAGUCCCUGGCCGGAUACCCCAGGGUGGCCUGGGAUCCUGGAGAGUGCUCAGGAAACUCAGGAGGAGUGUGGAUGCGGCUCCUCUCCUUCCACCCACUUCCCUGGCCCUGAGGGCAUUGCUGGGCCACCAUCCCAGACCUGGGGCGUGUGUCACAGGGCUGCCAGGAGGGCACAGGGCCCAAGGAUUCCCCAGGGAUGCUAGCCCCCCUGUGGGCCCUCAGGACUGGUAGCCCUGGGCCCCCUGGCGCUUUGUAGGGUGGUGCUCAGCAGUGAUGGUUGUGUGCCUGUCACACCCACCCACCUGUGCCUCCCCCCACCUGCCACGCCCAUUGUCCUACACCCAGCGCACACUCCUCUCCACGCUGCGCACGUGAACCUGCCCGGGUCACACACCUGCCCUGCCAUGGUGACAGGACUGUGUGGGAUCUCUGCCUCCCUGCCUGAAGUUCCUGCCAUUGGGACCUGUCACAGGCACACAGGACACAGCUGGCUCACCCUCUUCUCUGACAGCACCUGGGCCAUCCCUGAUAGUGAUCAGCCCUGCUGAGGAAGGGUUAGGGUGGGCUGCAGGCCGGAGGCCAGGGAGAGGCGCUGGACCGGGCCUGGCAUUUACUCACCCUCCUCCCAUCCCACACUGUCCCGGAGCCUCCAUCUCCACCUGAGCCAGCUGGGCUGAUGCGGAUUUCCAGGCAUCCUCAGCGGGACCCAUGGCCUGGGGUCACCACCUUCCUGAGCUGCGUGGAUCUCAGCCAGGACUUCUUGUCCCUGAGAAUAGAUUGGGUCUGGGAGUCCCAGCCCGUCCCUGGACCAGCCCUGCCAUCAGCUUGCCCAGCCUAGUUCCCUUUCUCUUCUGCACUCUGAAUGUGCACUCCGCGUGUUCAGACGCUCGUGGUUUCUGAUGAGAAGUUGGCUGUGUCUCUCACGGAGCCUCUCUCAGAGGCGAUGAGUGACUUUUCUCUUGCUGCCGUCAAGAUUCCUGGCUGUGGAUUGGAUGGAUGGGAAGCUCUGUCCCUGAACGGCCCUUGUGACUAUCGGGCUGUCCUUCCACAGUGUGCACUGAGGGUGCAGGCCAAACCUUUUAAAGAAUAAACAGAAAGAAAUCGGCUCUUUCACUUCUUGCAAGUUGGUGAAAACAGACUCUUCCAGGGAAUUUUAACUUUUUAUCAUCCUAUUUACUCUGGAAAGCCUUGUCUCGUGUUUUAGAGCUUGUAGGGUUUAAUAAAACUAGUUAACAGCCAGGCACGGUGGUUCACGCCUAUAAUCCCAGCACUUUGGGAGGCCGUGGCGGAUAGGUCACUUGAGGUCAGCAGUUCGAGACAAUCCUGGCCAACAUGGCGAAACCCCGUCUCUACUAAAAUUACAAAAACUAGCCAGGUGUGGUGGUGGGCACCUGUAGUCCCAGCUACUGGGGAGGAGGCUGAGGCACGAGAAUCGCUUGAACUGGGGAGACUGAGGUUGCAGUGAGCCGAGAUCACGCCACUGCACUCCAGCCUGGGUGACAGAGCUAGACGCUAUCUCAAAAAUAAAUAAAUAAAUAAAUAAAUAAAUAAAUAAAUAAAUAUAAAUAAAACUGGUUAAAAAUUGAGUCUCCCUGAAGUAGGUGCUCUUUCCACGUGAAAACUACUUUUUUGGUUUGGUUUGAAGGUAAGAAAGAGCGGGAGAAACUUUGCUCUUUUCAUUUAAUAAUUGUGUUCAGCCUAGCCGGGCGCGGUGGCUCACGCCUGUAAUCCCAGCACUUUGGGAGGCCGAGGUGGGCAGAUCACCUGAGGUCGGGAGUUUGAGACCAACCUGACCAAUAUGGAGAAACCCUGUCUGUACUAAAAAUACAAAAUUUUUAGCCAGGCAUGGUGGCGCAUGCCUGUAAUCCCAGCUACUCGGGAGGCUGAGGCAGAAGAAGCGCUUGAACCUGGGAGGCGGAGGUUGCAGUCAGCCGAGAUCGUGCCAUUGCACUCCAGCCUGAGCAACAAGAGUGAACUCUGUCUCAAAAAAAAAAAAAAAAAAAUUGUGUUCAGCCUAUGAUGAAAUAUUUGAUUAUUAGAUAGCAGUGUCACUAAUGAGUUUUAAGUUGUCCAGAGUUAAUUGUGAACAUCAGAACAGGAUUCUUAUGACAAAAGCAGUUGUCUUAAGAUGAAUGGUUCAUAUUUGGGUGCAGUAUUUGAUGUCCAAAAGAACAAACAUAAACCAAAAAAAAAAAAAAAAAAAAAAUUCCUGACUGUCCCCUUUGGAUGCCAGUUGAAUCUGUGUCUUGUGCCCCCGAGGGUCUGCCCGGUCACAUCCCCUUGUCUUCUCUAGGGUUCACGGGGAUCCUUCUCAUCCUCUUCUAGGUACCAGGUUCCAUUAGUUUUGUCUGUCAGUCUUGUCACCAGGGAGCUGGAGACCUGGAGGGGAGCCCUGAUGUCUGGGACAGUGCUUGUCAGUGGAUGGGCUUUUGCGUAGGGGGAUGGGGUAGGGAGUGAGUCAUUGCAUUAUAGACUUGGACUAGGUGGAUGCUAUUUUUCAUGGUGGUGGUGAUGGGAGAAGCUGUUGGGUUAUUUCACAGAGGAAGCCCGAGCUCCCUGCUGAAGAUGAUAAAUGAUGCACAGAUUUCAAUCCAUCCUACGGCUUCAGCCUCCAGUCCUGGUCCCACACAUCUCCUGGAGCAGAGCCUGAUUCCCAGCCUCUGUAGCUGGUUGAGGAGCAAAUAGGUUUCCCUGUCCUGACUCCACCUUGGAGCACCUUCCCUUGAGACCCACCAAGCUCUCUUUCAGUCACAGCAUCUUCCUCCUGCUCCAUGUGGUUGAAAUCUCAGGUCCUCUAAGGAUCCCUCCUCAUUCUCUUUGUUAGUGUGAGGUGGGACUUUUUUUUUUUUUUUUUUUUUUUUUUUUGAGAUGGAGUCUUGCUCUGUCGCCCAGGCUGGAGUUCAGUGGCAGGAUUUCAGCUCAGUACAGCCUCGGCCUCCCGGGUUCAAGUGACUCUCCGGCCUCAGCCUCCCAAGUAGCUGGGAUCACAGGCACCUGCCAUCACUCCCAGCUAAUUUUUUAUAUUUUUUAGUGAAUACAGGGUUUCAUUAUGUUGGCCAGGCUGGUCUCUAACUCCUGACCUUAAGUGAUCUGCCCGCCUCAGCCUCCUAAAGUGCUAGGAUUAUAGGUGUGAGCCACUGCACCUGGCCUGUGAGGUGGGAAGUUUCAAUACUCCCUUAGCCUUGGUUUGGUCACCAGAAGGAGGGGACAUGAGUGAAGGUCCCAGUCCACCCUAUGCAAGCAGAAGCCUCUUUGGUUUUAUUUUUAAAGGUGCGUUGACCCGUGUACCUUUGCAUGGACAUGUUCUUAUUUGGGGUUACCUUUGUGUUGACUUUGUGUGGCCAGGACCCUGGAGAUGAGGCCAGGAUGGCCGACUCCAACCCCUUAGCUGCUUCCUUGCCCUGUAUGGAGCAGCUCAGCCUGGGAUGCAGGAGCAGCUGUGUCCCUCCGCUCCCGCCAGGCCUCUCCCCCUGCCUUCUGGGACUGGAAGUUCCUAGGAGUCCUGAAGCGCUGAGCUGCAGGAGGCUUCUCAUGGCCCCAGGACACACCCAUCACCCCAUCUGUAUUGAGAUGUUUUCUAGAGAGACGCCUCUAGUAAAAUCCGCUCUGUGACGGUGGUGUAUAAACAUUUUCUGUGCAAGGACCUUGCCCUCCUUUUCAAAAAAGUAAGUAUGACUCCCACAUGAAAAUUUUCUUCUACAACACGACAUACGUUCAUUGUGGUA